AGAUCACCACGGUGAUUUGCAAGCAACUCAUUGUACAUUGGUGUCAGACUGUCUAAAUUUUUAAUUCAGUAAUGAAAGAUUUUUGGGUACAGUCAAGUACUUGUCAAGUUGAUGCGUGAGUCAAAAAAGAAUUGAUCUCUUCGAAUAAGUAAGAGUUAAUGUAUUAAUGUAUUUUAAUUUAGUAAAAUCUGAACCCAGAUAAUCUAUGUGAUGGAUUUGAAAGAUUGAAAUAUAAUGUGAAUGACUUAUCUAGGGUUGACAAUUAAAUCCUAAGUCAUCUUUGAGUAUUAGGGUCAAAAGG
rnacentral:lncRNA from 1 species